rnacentral:lncRNA from 1 species
GGUAUUCCUGCCUGCCAUGUGACUCUCAAAGCACAACCGCCUGUACGCCUUUAAAAGGCAACAUAGAGAGAGCCACCAUUGUGGCUCAGUGGGUUAAGAACCCGACGGUAGUGUCUGUAAGGAUGUCGGUUUGAUCCCUGGCCUCACUCAGUGGGUUAAGGAUCUGGCAUUCUGUGGCUGUGCUUUAGGCCUGCAGCUGCAACUCUGAUUUGAUCCCUAGCCCAGGAACUUGCAUAUGUUGCAGAUGCAGCCCUAAAAAGAAUAAUAAUAAUAAUAAUAAAAGGCAAGAUGGAAAUAUAGGCAGCUCACCAUCCCAGGUCCUGGUUAGGCCUACUUUCCCGUUUUCCUUCUCUUCCACACACGUGUCCUUCUGGGGACUCAUUUGUGUUGCCUACAUGAAGCCUGUGCUUAGAAAUAAGCCCAAAGAUAAAAGCCUUGAGAAAGGUGUCAUUAGAUGAAGUGGAUCCGCCUGGUCCCUGUUCUGCAGCUCCUCUGAGAGGCGUGUGCAGGGCACUCGGAUGGAGUGAGACCAGCCGUACACUUCUUGUGUUCACAAGGCUCCAACACACACACUGCUCACUCGUUUUUUCAGCAUCUGUUUGUGAGCAUUUUCCAAGGUCUCAGGGCACAGGCUCUGCUCUCGUUUGGGACAGUCAUUGCUGCCCCAGCUGUCCUCAUCCCUGAGGUAGUGGAAAAACCUGAAGUGUUGCUAGAAGCCUGAGGGAAGCCUGAACCUGUCUUCUCUGCCAGUUACCCCCAGGUAACAGAGGGAAUGUUGCCCCUCGCCGAGGUGCAAGGGUCAGAAGUUUUAGCCACAGCGUUUCCCCUGGUGUGACAUGAACAGGUCUGACCUGCUGUACAGCACAGGGAACUAUACUCAGUAUCUUAUAAUAAUCUAUAAGGGCAAUGAGUCUAAAAAAGAAUAUCUAUAUUGGACUCAUUUUGCUGCACGCCUGAAACAAACAGGACAGUGUAAACCCACUAGACUUCAAAUUUUAAAAAAUUAAAAAAAUUUUUAAAGGUGACUAAUUAAAUGUUUGCAUAUUCAAAACCUUUCAAGAAAUGACUGGUUCCAUGGGGAGAGAGACCCGUUUCAGAAAGAACCAAGGCAGCGCACGGUCGUGGCGGCUAGUGGAACAGAGUCUGACUCUGUUUUAACGUCCUCACUCUGUGGGCCACACCUCAUCCUCACAGAUGCACAGUCAGAUGCUGGGCAGCAGAGAAAUAUGCCCCUUCAGUCAGCUGCCCAAAAUAGCUUUUUACUAAUAAGUUCUGCCCAGAGAUAGAACUGGCCAGUGAUAACGGAGGACUUGUGCUGUCUCCUUUUCUUUCCUCUUUUGAUGUUAGCCAUUGAAUCCUUUGAAAAUUUCAGAGAGGGGAGUUGGACAGUCAUAAGUUGAAACGUCUGUUGCUGGUGCCUUGCCAGUCUGAGGCUGUCCGGUAACAACACUUUCAAAUUGGGAGCUGAUUAAAAUUUAGGCUCCACUUAAGGCUUGCAGCCACCCACCAUCCGUGGAAAGUUAUAAAUUGUUGGGACUCUGGAAGCAGAGUCAGUACCAUUCAUAUUUUCUCUGGAAGCAACAGGGACCAUUUGGUUUGCUUUCCAGAAAUAAGGGGCCACCUGGCAUAGAAUUCUAAGGGCUCGCACUAGAUGAGAAACUGGUCAUUGUGAUGUUUUAUGUGUGUCUAUAAAAAGAUAAAGUAGGUAGUAAAGAUAAGUACAUAAAGAUACGUAGUAGGGUCUGUGAAACAAAAUACAGAAGUUUAAAUUUACUAAUGUUUGACUUAACGUUGAGGAAGAGUAAGGUAGCCUGUCAGCAUCGGGAAGUUAGAGACGAUUAGGUAAGAGCGACUUGGAGAAGCGGUCCAGUUCUGAAAUAGGACCAGGAGGUUCAGGGUAGGUUUUAUUUCUGUAUCGAGGUGCAGAAUGUGUGUGGAAGAAAGCGCUCAGUUAGUGGAGGUGGAACCUCAGAUUUAAUGGUUGGCCCUGUGCUUACUGUUUUAUGACCUCAGGCAAGUAUGCACCGACCUCCCUGUCCCCAUGUGUCUUGUGGGGUGACACCCACCACAUGGGGGUCAGGGAAGAGUGGGAGGGAGGGCUUAGCACCAUGCAGCUUGGGUCCCUGUGAACAGCUUCCUUUACUUUCUCAACCACUACAUCCUCUUCAUUAAAAACCACUGUGAAGGAAAGCACGCAGGGUUGAUGAGAAAUUAUUCCAACUGUCACACUCAUGAGGCUCCGGUGAAUUUUACAAAUUAAACUUUCCUUUGAAGAAGCCAUAAGGCAGCGUUUUGUAAUAUCUGCACAGAGGUUAGUUCAGAAGCAAAUAUGCUGUGUUUGAAUUGCCAUCUACACACGGAGAACCUAGGGACAGUUUCUUCCUUAGAGGGAUUUAUGCUUCAGAGCAAAUGGGGAGACCCGUUGCUAUGGUUAGCUAAUUCUCCUCGACUUUUCCACGAUUCAGUUUGACAUAAGGGCUGGACAUUUUGCUCAUUCUGUGUAUUUCUUUGGUGCUCUAAAAUUUCCCUUUUACGUUUUUGCCUAAAACCUCGAGGGUACUGUGGGGGCGCCUUGGCCUGAGGACCCUGAGGUCAGAGUCAGUUCUGAACACUGUUUCAAUGAUAAGCAGCACUAGGAGACGACUGUAAACAGAGCUAUCGGAAAAUGGAAUUCAAGUAUUUACAUCUGCUACUCCUGAAGAGAAAUAGAUGUGUGUGGCACUUUCCUAUCCCAGGAACAGCUCUCAGACGUACUUCUGCUGUGCUCUGAAUAAUGCAUUCAAACAAAUUGCCCAAGUGCAAACAUGUAAAUACGUUGCCAGAGACACUGCCCUAUGCUUUGUGAGAUGGUUCUAUGUUCAACCUGGUUAAGAUACGAUUCAUGGGUGGACAGCUUUGUCAUCUAAGCGAAAGCCUUUAAUAGCACCAGGUGAGUUCCUGGGUAGACUCCCGGCACCUAUUUGAGUUCCUGAUCGUGACAGUGUCUGGGUGACAAUCAUGUUACAGUCUUGUGGAGAUGCAAAUGCUUUGCCAGGUGACGUGUGAACAGAGUGUGGAGUUGCAGACGCCCUUAAGCCAUCAGCCCGGUACUACGAUGAAGUCUAGAAACACAAGCUACACCCCAGAGGCCACCUCUUUUCAUGUUCUUCUGUCUGCUUUUCUGGAAAGGCUGGAGCUGUCAGACCAGAAGAAGCCAUUCAUGAUAAACACAGCCAGGCGCUGCUUCUCACCUGACUAUUUAGACAGGAUUGCUGGUGACAUAUGGUUCCCUGAAGAUGCCCCUCAUCAGAGAUGAGCAGCACCGCCCACAAGAAGAAGGAUUGAAGCUUGACCUUGGAGGGCAGGGGGGGUGCUCCCUGCCUAGUGGAGAAUCAUGAUUUGUCAUCUUUUCACCCCCGGAUCCCUGUGUUUAUGAGAUUGUGCCUCCCAGCUAGUGUACCUCCCUGUCUGCGCAGGGCUUGGAUCAGAGCUUCCGAUGCAUGGAAAUCACCCCUGCCCCUCUUUCCUCUCCUCCUGCCCUGCUCCCACCCUGGUUCAAAACUCCCAAACUAGAAGUGGUCUCUUCAGAGCAUCAAUAAGACCCUCUCAUUCUUCCCCUUAAAAUGCUCUGUUGUAUUUAAAGUACAGCCCAGCUGCAUACACUGGCUUACCAAGACCCAGUUCUGCUUCGUAGUGGACAUUCUCCCCUGCACCUCCUGGGUCCCACCCCUUUACCUUCGUGGCGUUCCCGGACCACACCAAGCUCAUCUCAUCCUUUGGGCCUGGGCACUGAUCUUCCUGGGAGGUGGUUUCCCAGCCCUCGGACCUGCUAUGGGAACGUCCCCUCCCUGGAGAAGCCCUCCCUUACCCCCCAGUGUCAGCAGCCACCCACCCACUUUAGGUUCCAUCCUCUAAUGACCUCCACCUGUAGCUGCCAUCAUUUCUUCUUUCCUUCUUCUGUGAGGAGGUAGGUUCCACUAGAGCAGAGGCCUGUUGUUCUUUAUCUGCUGCAUCCAGGCCUCAGGACAGCUAUUCAAUGCAUGUCUGUUGAAGGAAUGUCUUUAUUUUUUUUUCAGAUUUUUAAAAAAAUUUUUUGAAGUGUAGCUGAUGUACAAUAUUAUGUAAGUUACAGGUGUGUAAUACAGUGAUUCAUCAUUUUUAAAGGUGAUAUUCCAUUUAUAGUUAUAAAAUACUGGUUAUAUGCCCCAUGUUAUCCAAUAUAGCCUUGUAGCUUAUUUUGUACCGAAUAGUUUGUACCUCUUAAUCUUCUGCCCGUUUGUGCCCGUACCUGCUUCCCACUGGUAACCAUGAGUCUGUUUCCUAUAUCUGUGAGUCUGCUUUUUGUUUUAUUCACUGGUUGUAUUUUUUAAUUGUAGUUGAUUUAGGAAUGUCGUAACAAAUGAAGACAUGGGGCAACCAGCCUUUCUAACUUAACUAAUACAUUUCCAGCCAGAAGCAGAGACGUGGUUAGUGUGCAGCCAUGCCAUGGCUGGAGGUCCAUUUUCCUCUGAAACAACAAAACAAAGUCUUGGACCCUUCCCCCGUGUCUGGAUUUCAGGAAUCCGAGUUUGGGA